rnacentral:rRNA from 1 species
GACGAACGCUGGUGGCGUGCUUAACACAUGCAAGUCGAACGAAGAGCGACGGAAGCUUGCUUCUAUCAAUCUUAGUGGCGAACGGGUGAGUAACGCGUAAUCAACCUGCCCUUCAGAGGGGGACAACAGUUGGAAACGACUGCUAAUACCGCAUACGAUCUAAUCUCGGCAUCGAGGAUGGAUGAAAGGUGGCCUCUACAUGUAAGCUAUCACUGAAGGAGGGGAUUGCGUCUGAUUAGCUAGUUGGAGGGGUAACGGCCCACCAAGGCGAUGAUCAGUAGCCGGUCUGAGAGGAUGAACGGCCACAUUGGGACUGAGACACGGCCCAGACUCCUACGGGAGGCAGCAGUGGGGAAUCUUCCGCAAUGGACGAAAGUCUGACGGAGCAACGCCGCGUGAGUGAUGACGGCCUUCGGGUUGUAAAGCUCUGUUAAUCGGGACGAAAGGCCUUCUUGCGAAUAGUGAGAAGGAUUGACGGUACCGGAAUAGAAAGCCACGGCUAACUACGUG